AUGAUAUGCUUCUUCGCAGUCGAGUGGCACUUUGUAGACCGUGUGGCAAGACAAUUUGGAAAAAGACAAGGUAUUCCAAUUGAGGAGAGCAAGGAGGAAAUGCUAUCUCUGCAUCGGUUCGAUCGAAGGAACAAUCAGGAUAUAUCGGAUUGGGCAAACAAACACCGUGCGUGGAUAGAAAUUUGGAAUCAAAGAGACACGUUAGUGCAAUCAGAGAAUAGACCUCACAAUCAGUCAGCAUAUCAGAAGUAUCAAGUGUGGUAUGCGGAUCGUUACCGGUUAAAGCUGAAGCCAGGUUGGACUCACGAGGAGUGGUCGAGUUGGUGUCUGAAGACCCGGAGACUGCAGAAGGUUAUCAUACCUUCAACACGGCUGUGA
rnacentral:rRNA from 1 species